GGUAAAAUGGCUGAAAUUUAGGCGAUAAAUUGUAAAUUUAUUCAUGAAUAUUAAUUCUUUUACUA
rnacentral:tRNA from 2 species